AUUGAACGCUGGCGGCAGGCCUAACACAUGCAAGUCGGACGGUAGCACAGAGGAGCUUGCUCCUUGGGUGACGAGUGGCGGACGGGUGAGUAAUGUCUGGGGAUCUGCCCGAUAGAGGGGGAUAACCACUGGAAACGGUGGCUAAUACCGCAUAACGUCGCAAGACCAAAGAGGGGGACCUUCGGGCCUCUCACUAUCGGAUGAACCCAGAUGGGAUUAGCUAGUAGGCGGGGUAAUGGCCCACCUAGGCGACGAUCCCUAGCUGGUCUGAGAGGAUGACCAGCCACGCUGGAACUGAGACACGGUCCAGACUCCUACGGGAGGCAGCAGUGGGGAAUAUUGCACAAUGGGCGCAAGCCUGAUGCAGCCAUGCCGCGUGUAUGAAGAAGGCCUUCGGGUUGUAAAGUACUUUCAGCGGGGAGGAAGGCGGUGAGGUUAAUAACCUCGCCGAUUGACGUUACCCGCAGAAGAAGCACCGGCUAACUCCGUGCCAGCCGCCGCCGCAG
rnacentral:rRNA from 1 species